ACGAGAGGACGAUCUAGUUAGACGGCAGUAGCGACCGUCACCCUGGUUAUUUCUUUCCCGCACUUAGUAGUUUUCUUAAUAAAUGGUUCAGUUAGAUGUUUGAAUGUGGUGAUUUCCGUUAUGCAUGAGAUUAUGGAUGUUUUAUUAUACAUGAGAUUGGAGUUUUCGAUCUGUGGUUUUGGUUCUGUGGAGAUUUGGUUUUCUUGUAGUCCUGCAUCGUGUUUUUCUACCCCUCGAGGUAGUCGGUUUUCAAAAUAAAGUUUCCGUGUGGGAAACAGUUUUAAAAAGGUUUUCGAAUGGCUUUUAUAAAUGAUUGAAUUAGAGUUUAAAAACAAAAGCUUCCAUGUGGGGAGCACUUUUAAAUAUGAUGUUUGUUGUAUUGUGCAUCGCAUCAUCCAGCGCCUAAGGAGUGCUUAGAGGCAUGCAUCAUUCUAAGGAUUGUUAGCUGUAUGGAAAUGUGUGACGCCCCAACUUCCCAGGGGGUCACCCAUCCUAGGACUACUCCCGUCCUAGCACGCUUAACUCUCUUAACCUCUUGGGUCUUGCCACCACCCAAAAUGCUUAAGCCGGGUUAAGAGUUUAGCCCUAUUAUAUCUUAUAUAUAGGACUAUCUGGGGUCUCACAAUCUCCCCUCCUUUAAGCCCUGACGUCCUCGUCAGGCUCAGACUCACAAGUACCAGGCGAUGUGAGACUCAUCUCGCUAGCCCGUCAUCCAGACCCUGGCUCAGCCGAGACUCAUCUCACAUUUCCGGCUGGUAAUUGGCUCUGAUACCAUCUGUGACGCCCCGACUUCCCAGGGGUCACCCAUCCUAGGACUACUCCCGUCCUAGCACGCUUAACUCUCUUAACCUCUUAGGUCUAGCCACCACCCAAAAUGCUUAAGCCGGGUUAAGAGUUUAGUCCUAUUAUAUCUCAUAUAUAGGACUAUCUGGGGUCUCACAAUCUCCCCUCCUUUAAGGUC
rnacentral:lncRNA from 1 species